rnacentral:rRNA from 1 species
CUAAGCACACUGUUGGUUAUGUGUGCCCAAGCAUUGAGGCAGUCAAAGUAGGCAAAUCCGCUUUGAUAAUGCUGGGAUGUGAUGGGGAGCGAAAUUUAGUAGCGAAGUAGCUGAUUUCACACUGUCAAGAAAAGUCUCUAUCGAGGUUAAAGGUACCCGUACCGCAAACCGACACAGGUGGGUGAGGAGAGUAUCCUAAGGCCAGCGAGAGAACUGUUGUUAAGGAACUCGGCAAAAUGACCCCGUAACUUAGGGAUAAGGGGUGCCACCAUCAGGUGGCCGCAGAGAAUAGGCCCAAGCGACUGUUUACCAAAAACAUAGGUUUCUGCUAAGUCGCAAGACGAUG